UGGGGAAUAUUGCACAAUGGAGGGAACUCUGAUGCAGCGACGCCGCGUGAACGAAGAAGGCCUUCGAGUCGUAAAGUUCUUUUAUAUGGGAAGAUAAUGACGGUACCAUAAGAAAAAGCCCCGGCUAACUACGUGUCAGCAGCCGCGGUAAUACGUAGGGGGCUAGCGUUGUCUGGAAUCACUGGGCGUAAAGGGUUCGCAGGCGGAAAUGCAAGUCAGGUGUAAAAGGCAGUAGCUUAACUACUGUAAGCAUUUGAAACUGCAUAUCUUGAGAAGGGUAGGGGUAGGUGGAAUUUCUGGUGUAGCGGUGAAAUGCGUAGAUAUUAGAAAGAAUACCGGCGGCGAAGGCGACUUACUGGGCUCAUUCUGACGCUGAGGAACGAAAGCGUGGGUAGCAAACAGG
rnacentral:rRNA from 1 species